GAUAAACGCUGGCGGCGUGCCUAAUACAUGCAAGUCGAGCGAACAGACGAGGAGCUUGCUCCUCUGACGUUAGCGGCGGACGGGUGAGUAACACGUGGAUAACCUACCUAUAAGACUGGGAUAACUUCGGGAAACCGGAGCUAAUACCGGAUAAUAUAUUGAACCGCAUGGUUCAAUAGUGAAAGACGGUUUUGCUGUCACUUAUAGAUGGAUCCGCGCCGCAUUAGCUAGUUGGUAAGGUAACGGCUUACCAAGGCGACGAUGCGUAGCCGACCUGAGAGGGUGAUCGGCCACACUGGAACUGAGACACGGUCCAGACUCCUACGGGAGGCAGCAGUAGGGAAUCUUCCGCAAUGGGCGAAAGCCUGACGGAGCAACGCCGCGUGAGUGAUGAAGGUCUUCGGAUCGUAAAACUCUGUUAUUAGGGAAGAACAAAUGUGUAAGUAACUAUGCACGUCUUGACGGUACCUAAUCAGAAAGCCACGGCUAACUACGU
rnacentral:rRNA from 1 species